UCCGCUAUCGUCUCUGCUGCAACCAGUGGGGUUAGGUUAGUCUAAAAAAAAAUAGGACGUAUGAAAUUACAAAUGUUGGCAAUUGGUGAAAACAUGUGCAACAACAACUGUUCAUAUUUUUGUUUUGAAAUCUAUUCAACACGAUGGAAGUUUUAUUUGUGUUUUGGUGUAUUGGAUUUUAGCUAUACAAAUGUGAUGGCUUUGUGUUGAAGUUUCAAUACUGUGAAAAUCGUAGUAUGAAAUUACAAAUGUUGGCAAUUGGUGAAAACAUUUUAGUUGUAAACUUGGUUAUUCGUGGGUGUACUGUUUAACGAGAAAGUUUCAUGCUAAGAGCAGAGAAUUCCCAAUUUUCCUUUAGUAAUUUAUAAAGUUCUAAAACUCAGGCUUCUGUUUGAGUGUCUGAUAUGGGUAUGUUUAAUUUUUUAAAGAGUUUUUCAUGUACUUGGAGGAUUCUAGGAGGGCCAUGUACUUGUAUACUUGUCCGAAUAUGCAUAAAAAAACCAUAUAUUUCAAGAAAAAAAAUGAAGAGUCAAAGUAACAUUGCUUUUAUUUGUUAUAUUUUCAUAGAGAUUUCAAAUGUCGCAUUUACUAGUCUCGGUGUUCUACAAUGACAAAGAAUGUUAGAGAGACCGUAAACCCUUAUUGUCUGUGUUAAACAGAGGAAAGAGAUAGAUCACUGAUUGUGGAUAUAUCUGAGAUUAACCUCUAGGCUUUGUAGUUAGCUAUCAAGCAAGAUUUAAAGAGCUCAAUGUCUUGUAGAAAAUGAGUUGGCAUGUUGUGCUCGAACUAUGGGAAUGAUUUUUUUGCUUCAAGUAGUAAUGCAGAAAGCACAUCCUUGUAUCUCUGUUAGCCCUAUUGUCAUCCCCGGUUUCAUAAUGGCUUCGACUUUGUUGUCGAAGGAAGUGCUAAGUUUUUUUUUGUUUGGUGUACAUGGUCUCGAAUUUGUUUAGUUAACAACAUUAUGGCGUACUGAAUUUUUUUUGAUAAGUUUAAUACUUAAGCAUAAAACAGUAUGUUAUUAUCUCUAAGUGUAUAAUAUCAUUGUUUCUGUUGAUUCCUUUUCUUCAUUACUUUUGUUUUUGAACAUAAUGCCUAGUACUACCUCUAGCCCAUCCCGAACUCUUAAAUAGGAGCAUAAUGUACUUCAAUGCACUUGAAUCCAUGUCCUGCUGGCAACAAUACCAAUGCCAAUCAAGCUAAGACUUAACCGACAUUUUUCUUCAUUACUUAUUUGGUGUUCGUUUUCAUACAAUUAAUGAUAUGCGACUAGUUCUGGAAUAGUUUGCUGUUUAUUCUAACAGUUCAUCCAAUAUACGUUUUUCUGUAUUUAGAUUUUUACAUCAAAGUGGAUUGAAGAGGUACAAACUGAGCGGGGUAGUGAAUUAAUCUAGUUUACAACUGCUUUGGCUUCUGGCUGUGGUCAUUAAGUUGAUGUGAAAUUGUCGGUAGCCCUCUAUAUUUCAGUUACUACUUCUGCUCCUCCUAUAACUAUUGGUUCAACUGAAGCUGCCAUUUAAUCUUCGAAUUAAUAUUUGGUAUUGAUAUUGAUAAAGUUUUUAUAUUUGCUUGAACUAAAAUAUAUUUGGUGCUACUCUUAUAAUCUUACAUCUGUUCUAGGUACUGUCGAGCAACUAAAUUAAUAUUUGGUGCAACUAAAUACACCACAGCCAUUGACAUCUGUUU
rnacentral:lncRNA from 1 species